UACGUAGGGGGCAAGCGUUGUCCGGAUUUAUUGGGCGUAAAGCGCACGUAGGCGGAUUGUUAAGUCAGGGGUGAAAUCCUGGAGCUCAACUCCAGAACUGCCUUUGAUACUGGCGACUCUCGAGUCCGGGAGAGGUGAGUGGAACUGCGAGUGUAGAGGUGAAAUUCGUAGAUAUUAGGAAGAACACCGGUGGCGAAGGCGGCCCACUGGAUCGGUACUGACGCUGAGGUGCGAAAGCGUGGGGGAGCAAACAGG
rnacentral:rRNA from 1 species